GGGUUGUGAGGUUAAGCGACUAAGCGUACACGGUGGAUGCCCUGGCAGUCAGAGGCGAUGAAGGACGUGCUAAUCUGCGAAAAGCGUCGGUAAGGUGAUAUGAACCGUUAUAACCGGCGAUGUCCGAAUGGGGAAACCCAGUGCAAUUCGUUGCACUAUCGUUAACUGAAUACAUAGGUUAACGAGGCGAACCGGGGGAACUGAAACAUCUAAGUACCCCGAGGAAAAAGAAAUCAACCGAGAUUCCCCCAGUAGCGGCGAGCGAACGGGGAGCAGCCCAGAGUCUGAAUCAGCUUGUGUGUUAGUGGAACGGUCUGGAAAGUCCGACGGUACAGGGUGAUAGUCCCGUACACCAAAAUGCACAGGCUGUGAACUCGAAGAGUAGGGCGGGACACGUGGUAUCCUGUCUGAAUAUGGGGGGACCAUCCUCCAAGGCUAAAUACUCCUGACUGACCGAUAGUGAACCAGUACCGUGAGGGAAAGGCGAAAAGAACCCCGGCGAGGGGAGUGAAAAAGAACCUGAAACCGUGUACGUACAAGCAGUGGGAGCACCUUCGGGUGUGACUGCGUACCUUUUGUAUAAUGGGUCAGCGACUUAUAUUCUGUAGCAAGGUUAACCGUAUAGGGGAGCCGCAGGGAAACCGAGUCUUAACUGGGCGUUAAGUUGCAGGGUAUAGACCCGAAACCCGGUGAUCUAGCCAUGGGCAGGUUGAAGGUUGGGUAACACUAACUGGAGGACCGAACCGACUAAUGUUGAAAAAUUAGCGGAUGACUUGUGGCUGGGGGUGAAAGGCCAAUCAAACCGGGAGAUAGCUGGUUCUCCCCGAAAGCUAUUUAGGUAGCGCCUCGUGAAUUCAUCUUCGGGGGUAGAGCACUGUUUCGGCUAGGGGGUCAUCCCGACUUACCAACCCGAUGCAAACUACGAAUACCGAAGAAUGUUAUCACGGGAGACACACGGCGGGUGCUAACGUCCGUCGUGAAGAGGGAAACAACCCAGACCGCCAGCUAAGGUCCCAAAGUCAUGGUUAAGUGGGAAACGAUGUGGGAAGGCACAGACAGCCAGGAUGUUGGCUUAGAAGCAGCCAUCAUUUAAAGAAAGCGUAAUAGCUCACUGGUCGAGUCGGCCUGCGCGGAAGAUGUAACGGGGCUAAACCAUGCACCGAAGCUGCGGCAGCGACACUAUGUGUUGUUGGGUAGGGGAGCGUUCUGUAAGCCUGCGAAGGUGACCUGUGAGGGUUGCUGGAGGUAUCAGAAGUGCGAAUGCUGACAUAAGUAACGAUAAAGCGGGUGAAAAGCCCGCUCGCCGGAAGACCAAGGGUUCCUGUCCAACGUUAAUCGGGGCAGGGUGAGUCGACCCCUAAGGCGAGGCCGAAAGGCGUAGUCGAUGGGAAACAGGUUAAUAUUCCUGUACUUGGUGUUACUGCGAAGGGGGGACGGAGAAGGCUAUGUUAGCCGGGCGACGGUUGUCCCGGUUUAAGCAUGUAGGCUGGUUAUCCAGGCAAAUCCGGAUAAUCAAGGCUGAGGUGUGAUGACGAGGCACUACGGUGCUGAAGUAACAAAUGCCCUGCUUCCAGGAAAAGCCUCUAAGCAUCAGGUAACAUCAAAUCGUACCCCAAACCGACACAGGUGGUCAGGUAGAGAAUACCAAGGCGCUUGAGAGAACUCGGGUGAAGGAACUAGGCAAAAUGGUGCCGUAACUUCGGGAGAAGGCACGCUGGUGUGUAGGUGAAGUCCCUGCGGAUGGAGCUGAGACCAGUCGAAGAUACCAGCUGGCUGCAACUGUUUAUUAAAAACACAGCACUGUGCAAACACGAAAGUGGACGUAUACGGUGUGACGCCUGCCCGGUGCCGGAAGGUUAAUUGAUGGGGUUAUCCGUAAGGAGAAGCUCUUGAUCGAAGCCCCGGUAAACGGCGGCCGUAACUAUAACGGUCCUAAGGUAGCGAAAUUCCUUGUCGGGUAAGUUCCGACCUGCACGAAUGGCGUAAUGAUGGCCAGGCUGUCUCCACCCGAGACUCAGUGAAAUUGAACUCGCUGUGAAGAUGCAGUGUACCCGCGGCAAGACGGAAAGACCCCGUGAACCUUUACUAUAGCUUGACACUGAACAUUGAGCCUUGAUGUGUAGGAUAGGUGGGAGGCUUUGAAGCGUGGACGCCAGUCUGCGUGGAGCCAACCUUGAAAUACCACCCUUUAAUGUUUGAUGUUCUAACGUUGGCCCCUUACCGGGGUUGCGGACAGUGUCUGGUGGGUAGUUUGACUGGGGCGGUCUCCUCCCAAAGCGUAACGGAGGAGCACGAAGGUUAGCUAAUCCUGGUCGGACAUCAGGAGGUUAGUGCAAUGGCAUAAGCUAGCUUGACUGCGAGCGUGACGGCGCGAGCAGGUGCGAAAGCAGGUCAUAGUGAUCCGGUGGUUCUGAAUGGAAGGGCCAUCGCUCAACGGAUAAAAGGUACUCCGGGGAUAACAGGCUGAUACCGCCCAAGAGUUCAUAUCGACGGCGGUGUUUGGCACCUCGAUGUCGGCUCAUCACAUCCUGGGGCUGAAGUAGGUCCCAAGGGUAUGGCUGUUCGCCAUUUAAAGUGGUACGCGAGCUGGGUUUAGAACGUCGUGAGACAGUUCGGUCCCUAUCUGCCGUGGGCGCUGGAGAAUUGAGGGGGGCUGCUCCUAGUACGAGAGGACCGGAGUGGACGCAUCACUGGUGUUCGGGUUGUCAUGCCAAUGGCACUGCCCGGUAGCUAAAUGCGGAAGAGAUAAGUGCUGAAAGCAUCUAAGCACGAAACUUGCCCCGAGAUGAGUUCUCCCUGAGACUUUAAGUCUCCUGAAGGAACGUUAAAGACGAUGACGUUGAUAGGCCGGGUGUGUAAGCGCAGCGAUGCGUUGAGCUAACCGGUACUAAUGAACCGUGAGGCUUAACCUUACAACGCCGAAG
rnacentral:rRNA from 1 species